rnacentral:rRNA from 1 species
CCUACGGGAGGCAGCAGUGAGGAAUAUUGGUCAAUGGCCGUAAGGCUGAACCAGCCAAGUCGCGUGAAGGAAGAAGGACCUAUGGUUUGUAAACUUCUUUUAUAGGGGAAUAAAGGUAUCCACGUGUGGAUAUUUGCAUGUACCCUAUGAAUAAGCAUCGGCUAACUCCGUGACAGCAGCCGCGGUAAUUCGGAGGAUGCGAGCGUUAUCCGGAUUUAUUGGGGUUAAAGGGUGCGUAGGUUGUUUUGUAAGUCAGCGGGUAAAGUUUGUGGCUCAACCAUAAUAUUGCCGUUGAAACUGGAAGACUUGAGUGUGUUUGAGGUAGGCGGAAUGCGUGGUGUAGCGGUGAAAUGCAUAGAUAUCACGCAGAACUCCGAUUGCGAAGGCAGCGUACCGGCGCCCAACUGACGCUGAAGCACGAAGGCGUGGGUAUCGAACAGGAUUAGAUACCCCAGUAGUC